rnacentral:rRNA from 1 species
CCUACGGGUGGCAGCAGUGAGGAAUAUUGGUCAAUGGACGCAAGUCUGAACCAGCCAUGCCGCGUGCAGGAAGACGGCUCUAUGAGUUGUAAACUGCUUUUGUACGAGGGUAAACGCAGAUACGCGUAUCUGCCUGAAAGUAUCGUACGAAUAAGGAUCGGCUAACUCCGUGCCAGCAGCCGCGGUAAUACGGAGGAUUCAAGCGUUAUCCGGAUUUAUUGGGUUUAAAGGGUGCGUAGGCGGUCUGUUAAGUUAGAGGUGAAAUCCCGAGGCUCAACUUCGGAAUUGCCUUUGAUACUGGUCGGCUAGAGAGUAGUAGCGGUAGGCGGAAUGCAUGGUGUAGCGGUGAAAUGCUUAGAGAUCAUACAGAACACCGAUUGCGAAGGCAGCUUACCGGACUACAACUGACGCUGAGGCACGAAAGCGUGGGGAGCAAACAGGAUUAGAUACCCGAGUAGUC